GACUGUUUUAUCACUCCUUGUUUUGUGCUUUCGGCGACAAGAUAGGAAAACUUCAUAAGACAGCAACAUCCAGAAAUUUUAAAAUUAUAAAAUUUGUGGAGAGUUAAGACUUCGAACAAACAACAGCAGAGUGGGCGUACGGAGUGAACAAUCGAUGAAGACAAACAUUAAGGGCUGCUAGGCCAAGACGAAUUGUAAUGGGUAAGACGUGGGGGAAAUUUUGAAAGGAUAUAGAAUAAAUAGAAGAGAAGAAAAUAAUAGAAGAGAAAAAAUGUCGAAAGGACGUCCAGCUAGAUGGACGUCUCUUUCAGAAAAAUCAGAGGCGAGAGAAAUGACCUGUAGUGACGUGUGAGCAACAGGCAGAGGAGAAGGGGGGACAAAAGAGAGGAUGAGGGAACGAAGAGAAAGGAGAAGGAACGAAAGAUAGUAGGGAGUGAAAGAAAGACAGGUAGGGGACAGCAAGGAAGGAGGGAGAGAAAAAGGAAAUAUAGUGGAUUAUAGAGAGAGAAAAAAACAGUAUGUGGAGUCGCAGAAAUUAUAUAUAUAUGUAAGAACUUACUGUGGACAAGGCUAGAUGUUUGUUCAGCUGGGCAGCAAUUCAUAACAUCAAAGAAUGUCUUAUUCACUGUUUCCUAUAAUGGAGGUGAUGACUUCACAUCCAAGUAUGCAACUAGCCAAGGAGACAUAAUGCGGGUCAAGCAAAGAAUAACAACAAAAGCAAAGAAAUAUAAUGAAGCUGAAAGUAAUACCUGGACAUAAGGUUCACACUCCAUGG